rnacentral:rRNA from 1 species
AGAGUUUGAUCCUGGCUCAGAACGAACGCUGGUAGCGUGGAUUAGGCAUGCAAGUCGAACGGGAUCACCGAUACAGCAAUGUUGAGGUGUGAGAGUGGCGGAUUGGGGAGGAACACGUGAGCAACCUGUCCUUGAGUUGGGGAAAACCGUUGGAAACGACGGCUAAUACCGAAUGUGGCGCCCGGUGACAUCACCGGAGCGCUAAAGGGGGCCGCAAGGCUAUCGCUCAUCGAGGGGCUCGCGCAUCAUCAGCUAGUUGGCGGGGUAACGGCCCACCAAGGCUUACGAUUAGCUGGUCUGAGAGGAUGACCAGCCCCACUGGGACUGAGAUACUGCCCAGACUCCUACGGGAGGCUGCAGUCGAGGAUCAUUUGCAAUGGGCGAAAGCCUGACAAUGCGACGCUGCGUGUGGGAUGAAGGCCUUCGGGUUGUAAACCACUGUCAUAAGUGAAAAGGCGGAGAUACCUAAUACGUAUCCGAGUUGAUUGUAAUUUAAGAGGAAGCGACGGCUAACUCUGUGCCAGCAGCCGCGGUAAUACAGAGGUCGCAAGCGUUGUUCGGAUUUACUGGGCGUAAAGGGCGCGUAGGCGGCAGGGCAUGUCAAGUGUGAAAUCUCCGGGCUCAACCCGGAAAGUGCGCUUGAAACUACCUUGCUUGAGUCUGGGAGAGGGAAUCGGAAUAUAGGGUGUAGCGGUGAAAUGCGUUGAUAUCCUAUAGAACACCGGAGGCGAAGGCGGAUUCCUUGAACAGUACUGACGCUGAGGCGCGAAAGUCGGGGGAGCAAACAGGAUUAGAUACCCUGGUAGUCCCGACCUUAAACGGUGCACACUCGAGGUGGGGGGGAUUUCACCCCUCCCGUCUCUUAGCUAACGCGUUAAGUGUGCCGCCUGGGGAGUACGGUCGCAAGACUAAAACUCAAAUGAAUUGACGG